rnacentral:rRNA from 1 species
AGAGUUUGAUCCUGGCUCAGAACGAACGCUGGCGGCGCGUCUUAAGCAUGCAAGUCGGACGGCAAGAAGGGAGCUUGCUCCCUUCCUAGAGUGGCGGACUGGUGAGUAACACGUGGGUGACAUACCCCUGAGACCGGGAUAGCCUUUAGAAAUAAGGGAUAAUACCGGAUGAGACCGUAACCGUCAGAGGGUUACGAGGAAAGGAGCUAUGGCUCCGCUGAGGGAAUGGCCCGCGGCCCAUUAGCUUGUUGGUAGGGUAACGGCUUACCAAGGCGAUGAUGGGUAUCCGGCCUGAGAGGGUGAACGGACACAUUGGGACUGAGAUACGGCCCAGACUCCUACGGGAGGCAGCAGCUAAGAAUAUUCCGCAAUGGACGAAAGUCUGACGGAGCGACGCCGCGUGGAUGAUGAAGGUCGAAAGAUUGUAAAAUCCUUUUAGGAGUGAAGAAUAAGAGGUGCAGGGAAUGGCAUCACGGUGACGGUAGCUCCUGAAUAAGCAACGGCUAAUUACGUGCCAGCAGCCGCGGUAACACGUAAGUUGCGAGCGUUGUUCGGAAUUAUUGGGCGUAAAGGGUAUGUAGGCGGUCGUGCAAGCUUGGUGUGAAAGGCAGGGGCUCAACCCCCUGGACUGCAUUGAGAACUGCAAGACUUGAAUUUGCUGAAGGGCAGCCCGGAAUUCCAAGGUGUAGGGGUGAAAUCUGUAGAUAUCUGGAAGAACACCAAUGGCGAAGGCAGGCUGCUAGCAGAUGAUUGACGCUGAGGUACGAAAGUGCGGGGAGCAAACAGGAUUAGAUACCCUGGUAGUCCGCGCAGUAAACGAUGUGCACUAGGUGUCGGAGCAUGAGCUUCGGUGCCGGAGCAAACGUGAUAAGUGCACCGCCUGGGGAGUAUGCCCGCAAGGGUGAAACUCAAAGGAAUUGACGGGGGCCCGCACAAGCGGUGGAGCAUGUGGUUUAAUUCGAUGGUACGCGAGGAACCUUACCUGGGUUUGACAUACACAGGAAUUAUAUAGAGAUAUGUAAGCGCAGCAAUGCGCCUGUGAACAGGUGCUGCAUGGCUGUCGUCAGCUCGUGCCGUGAGGUGUUGGGAUAAGUCCCGCAACGAGCGCAACCCCUACUGCCAGUUACCAGCAUGUAAAGAUGGGGACUCUGGCGGAACUGCCGGUGACAAACCGGAGGAAGGUGGGGAUGACGUCAAGUCAUCAUGGCCCUUAUGCCCAGGGCUACACACGUGCUACAAUGGUUGAUACAAAGCGAAGCGAGGCCGCGAGGCGGAGCGAAACGCAAAAAAGCAAUCGUAGUCCGGAUUGGAGUCUGAAACCCGACUCCAUGAAGUUGGAAUCGCUAGUAAUCGCGCAUCAG